GAAAUCCAGAAGGGGUGGAGCCU
rnacentral:miRNA from 18 species